rnacentral:lncRNA from 1 species
GGCUGAUGUCGUCGGUGCGCUUCUCGUCCUUGGCGGCGGCGUCGCCCUCGGCCGGCGCCGGCUCGGGGUUCUCCAGGUGGUACUUGGCCCACUCGAUGACCUUGCCGAGGAUCUUGCCGGUGACGUUGGGCAGCGGGAUGGCGUUCUCAUUGUCGGCGUCGACGUCGUCGAGCAUGUGCUUGACGGUGACG